rnacentral:rRNA from 1 species
AUUGAACGCUGGCGGCAGGCCUAACACAUGCAAGUCGAACGAGUGGCGGACGGGUGAGUAAUGUCUGGGAAACUGCCUGAUGGAGGGGGAUAACUACUGGAAACGGUAGCUAAUAACGCAUACCAUCAGAUGUGCCCAGAUGGGCUUAGCUAGUUGGUGGGGUAACGGCUCACCAAGGGGACGAUCCCUAGCUGGUCUGAGAGGAUGACGAGCAACACUGGAGUGGAUACACGGUCCAGAUCCCUACGUGAGGCAGCAGUGGGGAAUAUUGCACAAUGGGCGAAGGCCGAAUGCAGCCAUGCCGCGUGUAUGAAGAAGGCCUUCGGGUUGUAAAGUACUUUCAGCGGGGAGGCGUUACCCGCAGAAGAAGAACCGGCUAACUCCGUGCCAGCAGCCGCGGUAAUAC